rnacentral:rRNA from 1 species
UACAGAGGGGGCAAGCGUUGUUCGGAAUUACUGGGCGUAAAGGGCGCGUAGGCGGCCUUCUAAGUCAGACGUGAAAUCCCCGGGCUCAACCCGGGAACUGCGUCUGAUACUGGGGGGCUUGAAUCCGGGAGAGGGAUGUGGAAUUCCAGAUGUAGCGGUGAAAUGCGCAGAUAUCAGGAAGAACACCCGUGGCGAAGGCGGCUCUCUGGGACGGUACUGACGCUGAGACGCGAAAGCGUGGGGAGCGAACAGG